CAAGUCGAACGUGCCCGCAAGGGCAAGUGGCGAAAGGGUCAGUAACGCGAUCGAACGUACCCUGAGGUGGGGGAUAGGGCAGGGAAACUUGCCAUAAUACCCCAUGAUGUCCUCGGGCCAAAGGUUUACCGCCUUGGGAGCGGCGAUCGUCCUAUCUGGUAGUUGGUGAGGUAAAGGCUCACCAAGCCGAAGACGGGUAGCAGGUGUGAGAGCACGACCUGCGACAUCGGGACUGAGACACUGCCCGGACUUCUACGGAAGGCUGCAGUAACGAAUCUUCCGCAAUGGGCGAAAGCCUGACGGAGCAAUGCCGCGUGUGGGAUGAAGCGGCUACGCCGUGUAAACCACUGUCAGGGGGCAGGAACAAUGACCGCCCCCAAAGGAAGAGCCGGCUAACCCUGUGCCAGCAGCCGCGGUAAUACAGGGGGCUCGAGCGUUAGUCGGAAUCACUGGGCUUAAAGGGUGCGUAGGCGGCUUAUCAAGUGUUUUGUGAAAUCCCACAGCUCAACUGUGGAACAGCAGGGCAAACUGAUAAGCUUGAGGCAGGUAGGGGCCGGAAGAACAGUUGGUGGAGCGGUGAAAUGCGUAGAUAUCAACUGGAAUGCCGAUGGGGAAGCCGUCCGGCUGGGCCUGUCCUGACGCUGAGGCACGAAAGCGUGGGGAGCAAACAGGAUUAGAUACCCUGGUAGUCCACGCCGUAAACGAUGUACACUAGACUGGUGCGGUUUUGACGCCGUAUCAGUCGCAGUAAAAACGAUAAGUGUACCGCCUGGGGAGUACGGUCGCAAGGCUAAAACUCAAAUGAAUUGAC
rnacentral:rRNA from 1 species